UGAGCAAUCUGCCCUUCUCAUCGGAAUAAGCGUUGGAAACGACGUCUAAUGCCGAAUACGACCUCCUUUCGCAUGA
rnacentral:rRNA from 1 species